AGUUCUGCCCACCAGCUGCCCACGUGUCGGACAACACAAUGUGAAGCAGAAACGAGAAAAUGAUCUCAAUCAGUCCUUGAAUCAGAUGACGGAUGAUAUUGGAAGACAACAAAGAAACAGAUUUCAAGUGCACUCCACUGGGGAGUUUUCUGAGAGCUCGUGAAGAUCAAAGUGAAUUAGGAGGAAGAAAGCGUGUGGAAAGCUUGGUGAAGCCCAAACAGAAGUGGAUUGCUGCCCAAGUGACCAUGUCUGGUGUUGAAUGCCGGGCUUCAUAAUUUCAAGGCCCCGUGUCAUUUGCUCUUCCCAGCAGUAGCUUCCAUCUGCUGAAGAGGAGACUACGGCUAGGCCCACUCUGUGACCAUGGAGAUGAUGCUUUAGAGACCACGUGACUGGUGGGGCUAGGGGAGAGCAUGUGUCCCAUGGCUUUGGUCCUGUGAUACCUGCACUCUACCAGCCGUAGUAGAGGACAUUGUCCCCUUGGAAGUCCACCAGUCCCCCGCUGGGCUCCCUGGUGUGAAAAGGGUAGGCACGGGAGUGGAGGCUUUAGGCUGGGAUCCACUGCUGCCUGUCUACCCGUGGGCUCCAGUGGUGUGCCCCUCCCGUCCCCAAACUCAAGUGCGUGUUGGGGAAGUGCUGCUCACACUGGGCUCUAGUGAUAUGGCUCCAGCAUACCGCGGAUUUAGGCUGGCCACCACUCUACCUACUGGUGAAAUCUCCCAUAACUCAUGAGAGAAAUGACAGCUUCUUCAUGGAGCUGAGGCAAAAGCCUUGGGAUAGGCAGUCACUAGCUGUGUGACCUUGGACAUGUCCCUGAUGUCAUUGGCCUGGAUAGAAAGUUGUUAGAGUGGUACCCACAAACCAUUGCUUCUGGAGAACAGUGAACACAUGUGACUUCAGACCAUCUUCUGCCUCCGGGUGAUGUCACAGUCUCCUCGUGGCAGGCCCCCUAAUCCUGGGAGCCUGUGUGUCCCUUCAUCCCCAUGAUAAUCCAACCCCCACUGUCUGGGGGGAUAUGCUGAAGAGUAGCGGAACUCAGGUGGGCCUCGGUUCACCUGAACUUGACAUUCCAGACUUGCCACGUCCAAGCUCUGUGACAUCGGGCAGGUUACUUCACCUCUCUGAGCCUUGGUUUCCUAUCUGUAGCAAUGAAAUGAACUAUAGUCAUCGAUAUUGAUAUUGGUUGUGAGGAGAAAGGGGGCAUAGUUGUAAACAUGGGAUGAGAUCGUGGGAAUGUACCCGACCCACGGCCUCUGAAAGCCUAGCGCCAGGAGCUGUGUCAUGUGCUUUAUCUCAUUUCGUCCUCAUAAAGCCCUACGAGGAAGCCACGCCACCUGCCCAAACGCCACAGAGCCAGGCCACAGCUGGAGUGGGCGUCAGCAGUGCCCGGCUCUGAGUCCUGAGGAUGCUCUGCCCUCUCCUCUUGUGUCUUUCCUUUCUUUCUGCCAUGUGUGAGGAACCACGUGCCACAGUCCUGAAUGGGCCCUUUCUUCCACGAGGACACCUGGACGCAGGCUAGGGUGCCGGAGGUGGCCGAGGGACAGCAGGUUCUUUUUCGCUGUCUGGAGGAGUUAUUUGAAACAGUUAAAUGUUAUCAUCCGCCCAUUGUGUGCGAAAGACUGUGAAGGUCAGAGAAACACUAACACGCUUCUCUCGUCUGACAAGUACCCACAUCAACCGGCUUGUUUAUGUUGAAAGGAGCUGAGGCGCCAAGCACACAGGCCUUUCUUCACGUGCAUCAAGGCGAGGGCCACAGGAGGGAAGCAGGAUGUGCACCCCUACUUCCCAUGGAAAGUGCUGGAAGGCUCUGUGGUUGUUGAGCCCCUCCUAGACCAGGCCGCUUCAGCCUGGGUCUUUCUGAUGAAUGGGCUUCGUGACAUUUGUCCAAUGGAAGCAGGAACAGAGCAAUCAGACCAGGGCAGCUGCUGAAGGUGACGGGGGCUCGACUAGUUUCAACAAACUGUAACCUUCGAUAAUUGGGAGGCUGCUGUGCGUGUUUCAUUUGUGGUGUGCACACCCCUCUGCAGGGCUGCCCAUCCCAUAGGGGAGAAAAAUGAGGGCCAGAGGGCUUGGGGAACUAUAUGCCCAUGGCCACACAACUGGGGGACUGUCUGACCUGGGGUUUAUACCCAGACUUGCCCUAUUGCCAAGCUGAGAUUCUUCAUCGAACCUCGUUGCCCCCAUUGGGGCAUUUACUGAAUGCCCGUGGCCUGGCAGGGACUUGGUCCCCUACGAAGCAGACGUGGUCCCUGACUCGGGCAGCUCACCACAUGGCACUAGGUGCCUCUCCCGAGAGCUGUGGGUGUGGGACUGGUGGGAGCACAGGUUUUUUUAAACAAGAAAGUAUAUGUUAUUAAAGAAAGCAAUACGGACUUGUUGCUGCAAAUUUAAAAGUGCAAACAGAGUAGAAAGGGAAGAGAAAGAAACUAGCUUUAUUUUCAGAAUCAGAAGUUCGCUGCUAUUACUCUUUGGUGUUUAUUGUUUGGGCCUGUUUUUUUCCUACACAUUACUUUUCUUACCUGGUUGUAAUUAUCCCUGGAUUGUAGGCUUCAGGAGAGAGGAUCUACGUUUUUCUCAUUUUCCAUUUUAUUUCUUAUACCUGUACAGU